UACCCGCAGCUCAAGUGGUGGUCAUUAUUAUUGGGCCUAAAGCGUCCGUAGCUGGCUUGUUAGAUGCCUGGGUAAAUCGAUGCGCUUAACGCAUCGAAUUCCGGGUAGACCGGCAAGCUCGAGACCGGGAGAGGCGUGAGCUACUCAAGGGGUAGGGGUAAAAUCCUGUAAUCCUUUGGGGAGGACCAGUGGCGAAGGCGUCACGCUAGAACGGCUCUGACAGUGAGGGACGAAGCCCUGGGGCGCAAACCGG
rnacentral:rRNA from 1 species